rnacentral:rRNA from 1 species
UACCAGACUCCUACGGGAGGCAGCAGUGGGGGAUAUUGCACAAUGGGGGGAACCCUGAUGCAGCGACGCCGCGUGGGUGAAGAAGCGCCUCGGCGCGUAAAGCCCUGUCAGCAGGGAAGAAAAUGACGGUACCUGAAGAAGAAGCCCCGGCUAACUACGUGCCAGCAGCCGCGGUAAUACGUAGGGGGCAAGCGUUAUCCGGAAUGACUGGGUGUAAAGGGAGCGUAGACGGUUGUACAAGUCUGAUGUGAAAGCCCACGGCUCAACUGUGGGAGUGCAUUGGAAACUGUAGAACUAGAGUAUCGGAGAGGCAAGUGGAAUUCCUAGUGUAGCGGUGAAAUGCGUAGAUAUUAGGAGGAACACCAGUGGCGAAGGCGGCUUGCUGGACGAAAACUGACGUUGAGGCUCGAAAGCAUGGGGAGCAAACAGGAUUAGAUACCCGCGUA